UUUUGAACUUGCUCCCCCCUUUCUAAAACCCUAACCCUCUUGCCCUCUUGGCGCUCAUCGCUUCCCGAAAUCUGCCAUACCUUAACCUUCAGAUCGACGACAAUGUCGAUGUCGAAGGGUUCGAAGAUGCUGCAAUUCAUAAAUUACCGUAUGCGGGUCACAAUCCAAGACGGCCGUCAGCUAGUUGGUAAGUUCAUGGCCUUCGACCGCCACAUGAAUCUCGUCAUUGGAGAUUGUGAGGAGUUCCGUAAGCUCCCCCCUGCAAAAGGUGCUAAAAAGAAUGAAGAACGCGAGGACAGGCGGACUCUUGGUCUCGUUCUUUUAAGGGGCGAAGAGGUGAUUUCCAUGACUGUUGAAGGCCCUCCGCCACCUGAUGAGAACCGUGCCAAGGCUGUUGGAGCGGCUGCGUUGGCCGGUCCCGGUCUUGGUCGUGCUGCUGGCCGUGGAAUCCCAACUGCGCCUUUGAUUCAAGCUCAACCGGGUUUAGCUGGACCGGUUAGGGGAAUUGGUGGACCGGCUCCAGGCAUGAUGCAGCCGCAGAUUUCUCGACCUCCUGUUCCGAAUAUGUCUGCUCCGCCGAUGAACUACCCACAGGCUCCUGUGAUUCGACCUGGACAGAUGCCGUACCCCGGACAGGGUCCUCCGCCUCAGAUGCCACGCGGACCACCUCCACAGAUGCCGCCUCAGUUUGCUCAACGGCCUCCUGGUCAAUAUCAGGUGCCUCCCCCCGGUCAAUAUGGGCAGAGGCCUAUGGCUCCCCCUCCCCAGAUGAUGAGGGGUCCACCACCACCUGGGGGCGCUCCACGUCCCGGUAUGCCUGGUCCGCCUCCACCUGCUCGGCCUGGUAUGCCUCCUCCUGGUGGGCAGAUUCCUGUAUUUGGGCCUCCUCGUCCUGGUAUGCCUCCUCCGCCAAACUCUCAGCAGCAACAUCAGCAGCAAUGAUUGGCAAAUCUGUGGAAGAUGUUUUUUACUGGGAAUUCAAUGCUUAUAAGCUGCAGAAAACAUGUUCAGAAGUGUGAGUUCAACUGGUGGCGCCCUUGUGUGUGUGUGUGAUCUUUAUGGCUGGCUAAUGGCUAUAUAUAUAAGUAUAUUUUCUGUUCCCCUUCAUCUCUCUCAUUAGUUGUUAUGCAAUCACUUCUUUUGAAUAUUUGGAUUAGGUUCUCAUCAGAAUCAGAUGGCUUCCAAGUUCUAUGUGACAUGGAUUCUACUUUUUUGGUAUUUCAUAUGUACACGUCUUGACUACAUUUUCAACAAUGUUUUUUGUCAUUAGUCCUGGAAUUUAGUUUUGUGUGCUAUUUGGGACCAUGUCAUUUUUGUUUUGUACCUUGUAUUAGUAUUGGUAUUAGUAUUCAGUAUUAAAUCCUUUAAGGGAUGCGAUUAAGUAUCCCUGCAUUAAGGAUCAAAAGCUUAUGAUUUAGAGUUUAAA